rnacentral:rRNA from 1 species
UACGUAGGGUGCAAGCGUUGUCCGGAAUUAUUGGGCGUAAAGAGCUCGUAGGCGGUUUGUCGCGUCUGCUGUGAAAACUCGGGGCUUAACUCCGGGCUUGCAGUGGGUACGGGCAGACUAGAGUGUGGUAGGGGAGACUGGAAUUCCUGGUGUAGCGGUGGAAUGCGCAGAUAUCAGGAGGAACACCGAUGGCGAAGGCAGGUCUCUGGGCCACUACUGACGCUGAGAAGCGAAAGCAUGGGGAGCGAACAGG